rnacentral:rRNA from 1 species
UUGAACGCUGGCGGCAUGCCUUACACAUGCAAGUCGAACGGUAACAGGUCUUCGGAUGCUGACGAGUGGCGAACGGGUGAGUAAUACAUCGGAACGUGCCCGCUCGUGGGGGAUAACGCAGCGAAAGCUGUGCUAAUACCGCAUACGAUCUACGGAUGAAAGCGGGGGAUCGCAAGACCUCGCGCGGACGGAGCGGCCGAUGGCAGAUUAGGUAGUUGGUGGGAUAAAAGCUUACCAAGCCGACGAUCUGUAGCUGGUCUGAGAGGAUGAUCAGCCACACUGGGACUGAGACACGGCCCAGACUCCUACGGGAGGCAGCAGUGGGGAAUUUUGGACAAUGGGCGCAAGCCUGAUCCAGCCAUGCCGCGUGAGGGAUGAAGGCCUUCGGGUUGUAAACUGCUUUUGUACGGAACGAAAAAGUCUUCGCUAAUACAGGGGGCGGAUGACGGUACCGUAAGAAUAAGCACCGGCUAACUACGU